rnacentral:rRNA from 1 species
AUUGAACGCUGGUGGCAGGCCUAACACAUGCACGUCGAACGAGUGGCGGACGGGUGAGUAAUGUCUGGGAAACUGCCUGAUGGAGGGGGAUAACUACUGGAAAAGGUAGCUAAUACCGCAUACCAUCAGAUGUGCCCAGAUGGGAUUCGCUUGUUGGUGGGGUAACGGCUCACAAAGGCGACGAUCCCUCGCUGGUCUGAGAGGAGGACCAGCCACACUGGAACUGAGAAACGGUCAAGACUCCUACGGAAGGCAGAAGUGGGGAAUAUUGCACAAGGGGCGCAAGCCGGAUGCAGCCAUGCCGCGUGUAUGAAGAAGGCCUUCGGGUUGUAAAGUACUUUCAGCGGGGAGGCGUUACCCGCAGAAGAAGCACCGGCUAACUCCGUGCCAGCCGCCGCGGUAAUAC